CAGCCAUUCACCGGCCGCAGGCUUUCACUACGAGGAGCGAGGACGUUCCCACCGGCUGAGGGCAAUGUCCAGUAUUUCCAAUGAAAUAGUAACAUCUGAAUUGAGAUGUCCUAUAAGUAUGAUAUACACACCAAAUUUCAAAGCAUAAGAAAGCAUUUUAUAAAAGAAAAUUUUAAACA